rnacentral:rRNA from 1 species
CCUACGGGAGGCUGCAGUGGGGAAUAUUGGACAAUGGGCGAAAGCCUGAUCCAGCCAUGCCGCGUGUGUGAAGAAGGCCUUCGGGUUGUAAAGCACUUUCAGUGGGGAAGAAAGCCUUGGGGCUAAUACCCUCGAGGAAGGACAUCACCCACAGAAGAAGCACCGGCUAACUCCGUGCCAGCAGCCGCGGUAAUACGGAGGGUGCGAGCGUUAAUCGGAAUUACUGGGCGUAAAGCGCGCGUAGGCGGUCUGAUAAGCCGGUUGUGAAAGCCCCGGGCUCAACCUGGGAACGGCAUCCGGAACUGUCAGGCUAGAGUGCAGGAGAGGAAGGUAGAAUUCCCGGUGUAGCGGUGAAAUGCGUAGAGAUCGGGAGGAAUACCAGUGGCGGAGGCGGCCUUCUGGACUGACACUGACGCUGAGGUGCGAAAGCGUGGGUAGCAAACAGGAUUAGAUACCCGGGUAGUC